rnacentral:rRNA from 1 species
GUACCAGAUGAAUAAGCACCGGCUAACUCCGUGCCAGCAGCCGCGGUAAUACGGAGGGUGCAAGCGUUAUCCGGAUUCACUGGGUUUAAAGGGUGCGUAGGCGGGCAGGUAAGUCAGUGGUGAAAUCUCCGGGCUUAACUCGGAAACUGCCGUUGAUACUAUCUGUCUUGAAUAUCGUGGAGGUGAGCGGAAUAUGUCAUGUAGCGGUGAAAUGCAUAGAUAUGACAUAGAACACCAAUUGCGAAGGCAGCUCGCUACACUGUUAUUGACACUGAGGCACGAAAGCGUGGGGAUCAAACAGGAUUAGAUACCCUGGUAGUCCACGCCCUAAACGAUGAAUACUCGACAUACGCGAUACACAGUGUGUGUCUGAGCGAAAGCAUUAAGUAUCCCACCUGGGAAGUACGACCGCAAGGUUGAAACUCAAAGGAAUUGACGG